rnacentral:lncRNA from 1 species
ACUUGUGACUCUAAGCUUUCUAAAGCCAUUACAAAGGAGGAUUUGAGAUUGUUAUUGCUACAUAACAAUCAAGGUAAGAUCUAAACCCCAAUCUUAUGUUAAUAUGAUUAAUUGUAUGCUAGAUCUAGGGUUUAUAGCUUUGGAUAUUCAAUUGCAUGUUCAUUAGACAAACUAGAUCCAAAAGCUAUUAGGGUUUGCAUGUACACCAUAGGAAUGAUGUUUUGCUCAUAACCCAUCAGUGGUAUCAGAGCCAUGGCUGUUUGUUUGAUGUAUUUGAUGCUAUUGUGAAUUAUCCUUGCUUAAAGAUCGAAAUUUAGGGUUUCUAGGGGCUGAACUCGCCGAGUCCAUAGAUGAACUCACCGAGUCCAUGCCUGACUCGACGAGUUAGCUGGUCAGAAAGAGUGAAAAUCGGGAUUUUGUGCUCUUUUGGUUGUGGGAUAGUUACCAAAACAUUUUUUGUUGAUAUAAAUCAGAUUUUUAUGAUAUUGGGUGAUUAUCUUUGCCAAAAUUAAAGAUAACUUCAUAUUAGUUAAAUAAUUAUUUCCUUAUAUGAUUAGAUUUAAUUAUUUGAAUUAUUUGGUGAAUUAUCUUGCAAGAAUUUGGACUAGGUCAAAUUAGAUAACCACCAAUUAAUUGUUAAUUGCCUUAUUUGAAUUUUGUGAUCUAGAAUAUUCUUGACAAAGUUUGGAAAAGUUUCAAAUUAAUCCCUUUAGGUUUUAUAGUUUAAAUUUGAACUUAAAAGUUUUGUUUUUGAAAUUUAAAUAAGUUAAACCCUAAUGUUUUGAAAUGUUUCAAAACUUGCCCUCAAGUUUUGGAAUUUAAAAGUUGAUUAAAAGUUUAAUUUAGAAAUGUUAAAUUCUAAAACCCUAGUAUUGUUUUGAAAAGUUCAAAUCACACCCUUAUGGUUUUAUUAAUUAAUUAAGGUGUAUAAUUAAAAGAGAUUUAAUAAACCCAUAAAGUUUUGGUUUACAUUUAAUUAAAUUAAAAGUAUAAUUUAUUAAAUUAGACCACCUAGUAUUUUAAAAGUGUAAAAUACACCCUAUACUAUAUAUAACAUUAAAAGUCUAGUAUUAUAUAUGUAUGAGUAAACAGUCAGUCUUACCGUUAGUAGGCCUCAUUCACGAAGCUGGUCUAUAAGGGGUGUUUAAGGAAAUUGCCUAUAAAAUGGCGAUUGAAUGGGUAUCCACUCUUACCCACCGCACUCUUGACUAGUGGAGGGUCGUUAGCCGAACGGGUAGGAUAGGACGAAAACCUUCCAUUAUAAGUAUAAUGAAGUACAAAAGUAACUAAAUGUUUUUAAAAAAUCUCAAUCUUAGUUACUUUAGGCAAAAGUGAAUUGAUGCAAUUCCAUGAAAUUACACUUUGUGCCCUUGCGAAGACGUUAGUGGAGCGUGUGUGGUUAACCGGCACACUAAAUGGUUCUAAGCAAAGGUAGCAAAGGGUGACUCAAUGUUUGUCAUAGUUCGGUGGAGCGUGUGUGGUUAACCGGCACAUCGAAUAGGUGACUGUAACAUUGGGGGCACCAUGUAAGUUUGCAUGGUUAUUCACACCCUGUUUUGUGAUCCUCGGCAUCCCAGUCACAAAUCGAGGGGCAUAUCGAGAUUUUAAACAUGCCAUUGAAAAGUUCAAUGUAUCUCAAAAGAUCUAGGAAUUUUCAAUAGAUUUAAAACUUAAAUUUCUUUUUCGUUUCUCAUGGUGGAAAUUGGUAAAUCGUCAUUUACCUACCUUCAAAUAUUCUGCAGCUGGAUUACGACAUCCCUCUUCUAGGUUGUAGAGUAUUGUGUUGGAUCCUAGCCUCGAUGUUUCAUUUGGGUGUCACAUUGAGGAUUCUAAUCACCCUAACUUGAAUUUUCUCCCGUUUUGUAGAUGUCAAAGUAUGACAACUAUGGUCUUCCCAAAUCCCGUGGAACAAGCUUUCCACAUGUAGAUGAUAUUCCACGAUUCGAUCGACGAACAAGAGAUCAUGCUUCACUUCCUCCACCUCCUCCAAUUAUUCUCCCUAACCCACAAGUUCGAUGGCUUGAAAAGUUCAAGCUCACUCAAGCCCUUUUGGCAAGUAAACAUGGAAAACCUAUGCGUGUAUACGUCUUAGAGAUAAAGUCACACAUUGAUAGGUUAAGGAUGUUGGGUGUCGAGAUUUUAGGUAAAUUAGUUUUUGACUGGGUUCUUCAGUCGCUUCCCGAAUCAUAUAGUGAGUUCGUUAGAGAGUACUAUAUGAUGGAUCAUGACCUGACCCUCAUUGAUUUGACCUAUAUGCUUAUAGCUGCUGAAUCAGCAAUGAUUUGGCGAGCUGGUCGAGCAAAUUCGUCUGGUGAAUCAAACUCCCAAACUUCAAUGGAUAUUAAAAAUGGUGACAUUGGAGAUCCAGAAAAGGUAGAUUCUGAGAUAGUCCAUGUGCCAUUCCAAAGGAAUCCAUAUGCUUUUAUUGCCAAGAGAAGGGGCAUUAGAAACGAAGCUGCCCUAUUUACUUAAGAGAUCUAAGAGACCGGAGAGUCAAAACGUAUGGCUCUACUUUAGGUAAAAUCCAUUAACUAACUCUUUUAAGCUCCUAUUCUAGAUUCUUGAUACAUGAUGUGAUAAGAUUACAUUUUGAUGUUUUGUAGGAUCGAAGAAAAGAAAGGAAGCUUAAAGGAAGAAGUGAGCUGAAUCUAAUCGUGAAGAAAUGGAUUUCCAUCGCAUUGCUUGAAGAUUAGAUUCUAAAGCUACUACUUGGAGUCAGAAUAGAUUACUUAGGAAUAUGUAACAACAUAGUUUUUCAAUUGAAUUGCAAGGACAAAUUUUUCCGCAAUAAAAUAAAUUUUGAUUUUAUAUUAUUUAUUUAUCCUUGCAAUGGCGUGUAUGAAAAAUUGAUGUUUGUAAGUUUCUAUUAUUAGCAAUAAUGGAUAUGAUUCUUAAUUAUGUUAAUUGUGGAAAGGUCAAGAAUUUACCAAAUAGGGGAAUUUUCUCAUCGCCCAAGUUUCAAUUGGACAGAAACUUGGAAUCAUACAACUUGGUUGCAUAAUGAAUGAGAAAUUUCAUAUUUGGAAAUUAGACUAAUUCGUUGACAAAGUGUCAAGUGAAGGACUAGGAGAUCAAGUACACAAGGUUGUGUGUUGAUCAAGUCCACCACAAGAGUGACAAAGAUAUUCGUCAAGAUUUACUAAAAGUUUAGUAAAUAUGAUUAUACUUAUAAGAUUAAGUGUAAUUCUGAGUUGAUUGAAAGAGUUUCAAUCAAUAGCAGAACGAAUAAGAAGAAUCAAGUAGGCAGAAAGAUAAAAGUUUCUCUAUUCUAAGAAGAAGGGAGAGUACCUUUUAUUAUGUUUUAUGAUAGGUCUUAAUGAUUAAGAACCAUAUCUCAAUUGAUCCUCUAAGUGAGUCUUAGUACAAUUGUAUGUCUAAGAAGAGGAAUCAAAAAUUGAAGAAAUGGUUAAAUCAAGAAGUCAAUCAUACUUCGUUCCAAAACAAGUCUUAGAGUUAAGAUUGUGACAUUGAGUGACAAGUCUUAAGAAGGUUUAUAACAUUCAUCAAAUGUGGAAUUUGAAAAGGUUUUCUUAUUCUUGCACAUUUGAAAUUGGAAAGUUGUGAUGUCUUGGAUAAGACAAAGACCAACUAGGACCAAUUUUGUGAAGUGUUUUGUCUUGAUAAAAGCUACACUAACUCUUGAAUAUUUGUUUGUCGAGAAAUGUUUAUUGAAAAAAGAAUCUUAUAUGUCAAGGAGUCAGUGGGAGUCUUAAUGGUCUUGAAAAGUUUCAAGAACUAAUCAAGAAUAAACCUUAUCGAUCAUCACUAGGACACGAGUUGAGGUUUACAACCUAUCGUGUUGACACUAUUUUGUUUCUGUGACAUUUCAAUUGAGUUAAUUAUGCAUGUCAGUUCUAUGAGUUCUCAUUUGAACGCAUAAAAGGCAAGCACCUUGAUCAAUGAAAAGUACAUUGAUAGGAAAGGGUGAGCUGCUUAACUACUUGGAAGACAUGGUGGGCACUCGUGUUACCAUAAGGCAAGAAAUCAAGAUUGAGAAAGUUCAGUCCAUAUGAGUUUGGAUUUGUUGCAAAAUUUAGUUUUGACAAAUUCGCAUGGAUAGGAACACAUACACCGUUAAAAUCUAAGUGUCAUAAGAUUCCUUCAUUCACGAAAAUGACUGUGAGGAAAUGCUUUCACUAAGAGAGAUUUUAAGAAGAUAGUGAUUGUGAAAAUUGUAUUCUCGAAUUCGAUUAUGGUAACGGUAUCCCUUUCCAUAAUUCGAAUUGUGAGAUUUGGCAAUUAAUCUGAAUUGUUUAGACACACAUAUGAGCUAUCUAAGGCAAAGGUGUAUAAGUUUAAGAAGCUUAGAUAAAGGAUUAUCAAAGCAUUAGGUAUUAGAAAUAUGAACUUAAGAAAUUCAAUAAGUAUUGUUUUCUGGAAGUUCAGUUGUUUUCUAAAACAUGUCAAAGCUAGUGGGAGCAUAAGUGUUAUGCUUAUAUGAUAAUAAUCAUCAUGAUAGUGGGAGCAUAAAUGUUGUGCUUGUAUGAUUAUUAAGGCAAGUAUUGCAAGUUAGCAAUAUUAAUUAUAGAAAACAAGAGUUAUACUUUGCAAAGUCGUAAGGGUUGAAUAGUUGUUUUGCUAUAAUUAAGGGAGAGAAUAUUAUGCUUCAUUUCAAAUCUAAAGGCUUAGGUUGUGGAAUGUUAAUAAAUUUAGUCAAGGAUACAUAGUGUGUUCUCAAAUUUCGAUUAUGAUUAUGGCAUAGUUCGAAUUGUGAGAACGUGGCACAUAAAAUAUUAUGGCAGAAGAUUGAUAAAGUAUCAGAUCUUUAUGUAAGACAUUAUGCAUCGUGUCCCAUACGCUUCGGGUAUAGGAUUGAUUGCAAAUGCUAUAAUAUUUGACCAUUCUAAAAUUUUCCAAAUGUCUAGCGCAUUUAGAGGGAAAAAGGACAAGAAUCGGUUUUGACUAAGAUAAUUAAACAACUAUCAAAGGACGAUCCAAAGCUCGCUGAGGAUUGGUCGCUUGUGAGUAGUUGGAAGUAUGGUAUUGGAUGGACCAUAUCGACAUUAUUAUGAAUAGAUAAGAUUCUAUUAAGAAUGAGUUGUCAUAUGGCAAAUAUGGAAAUGUUUCCAUAUUGGGAGUUGGAUAUUGAGAAUCUAUGUCUAGAUUAGAAACUUUUAUGCAAGAAGGAUGUUCAAAGGAAUGUACUUUGAGUGAGAGACAUCAUAUCUAUAGAAUUGUUUCUGAUAGAGAUUGGCCAAGUCUUGAUGAUUUUGAGCUAUGACUUUACGAAAGAAUCAUUGCAUAAAAUGUUAGAAUCUAGCAUAAGUAACAAGAAUUUGAUAUUCUUAUACUUAUGAUAAGGAUUGGGAGUUGUGAAAUGAGUAUGAUUGGAAAUGUGUUCAUUUGAUCUAUUUCACAAAGUAAGGACCGUAGGUAAACAUUGUGUGCAUGCUGAGAGCAUGGGACAAGUGUAGUAAUAAUUCAAGUAAGAAGUUGAUUACCCGAAACAACAAAUAAUGAGUAAUCAAUAUGGUGAUUAAAUAAAAUGUUUUAUUUAUACCCAGAGUUUGGGGCCAUAUGGGAUUAGUAUUAUUCUUGUGUUUCACUUUGCAUGUUUUGACUUCCUGAAUAAUUAAAUUGGUUCAGAACAAUCAAAUUAUUCGAACGGACCACAGUCGUUCAUAUGUUGGAAGUAGGUAUGAAUGAAGACUGUCGUGAAUUGGUGUGUGGAUUGUCUAAAGUGUAUUAGACAUAAGCAAAUGUUUGCUGCAACGUUCAUGAGUGCUUAUGAAUAUGAUUUGAGCAUUGGAUUAAACCCACGCUCACUUGGAUCACUUCAUGGAUUUUAUCACGAGUGAUUGGUGAGACGAUAAUAUCUUAUAUUCUUGAAACCGAGAUGUGUGAGUUGUAUCUUGCGAGUCGGUUACACAUUGAUAAUAUGUAAACGCACCAGUAACUUGGUGUCAUAAAACAUAUUGUUGUGUGUGAUUCGGUGAGUGAGUGCAAGCAAGCAUUGAAUCAAAGUUUAUCCGUUCCUUUUAUCCAAAGUAGGAUGAAAGCGAUAUCUGUGGGCCCCUCGAUGAUUUAGUGAUGACACCCUAAGCGCUUGGCCAAGCCGGGACUAAUUUGAUGUGUUCAAUUGUAGUCUGUUGUCAGUCGUCAUAAAUCGGAAAUCGGGAAACAACACAUAGACAGAGAGAAUGAUUUAAAUCCAUGUCUCAGUCUAUACGAUAUCUAGAAUGGAGGAAUAUAUGAUCCCUUAUCUAAAGGACGCGUAUCUGAUAAGAUCAGAGUUGACAGCGGCUUUUGAAAGCUACGAUUGCAGAUCAGGAUCUGAAGUCAUACGCAUAAUAGUUAUUAGACUUAUCCAAGUGGGAGACUGUUGGAUUAGUGUCUAAGUCCAUAACUAUUUUGGUAUGUACUUGACCCGAUGGUGCAUGGUCCUUUUGGGUUGCCUUCACCAAAGCAACUUGAUAUGAUGAAUUAUGGAGAGAGAGGAUUAAUUAUGAUUUAUUAAUAUAUUAUGAGAAUAAUAUAUUAAAGGAGAAAUCAUAUUGUUUAAUUAAUAUUAGUCAAGAAUUAAUAAGAAUUAAUUUUGUGGCUAAAAGAUAUUAAUUAAAUAAAGGGGACUAGAACUGUCAAUUGUGUGAUAGUUGAAUAUUGGGCUAAUGGACUCCAUAAAGGAUGAAGUGGACGAAUUCUAUGGGGAAACCCAUUAGAAAUCGUCCAAGGCCUCUAAGGAGGGAGUCCAUGGGCACCAUAACGUGGCCAACUAAUUCCUUUGGGUUUUCUACACGUUUUUGGGUGUCUCCUCUCUUAUCAUUCUUCAUCCUCUGGCUCUUGGUGUUUGUGAGCCAUUAGAGGAGUGACACUUGUGACUCUAAGCUUUCUAAAGCCAUUACAAAUGAGGAUUUGAGAUUGUUAUUGCUACAUAACAAUCAAGGUAAGAUCUAAACCCUAAUCUUAUGUUAAUAUGAUUAAUUGUAUGCUAGAUCUAGGGUUUAUAGCUUUGGAUAUUCAAUUGCAUGUUCAUUAGAUAAACUAGAUCCAAAAGCUAUUAUGGUUUGCAUGUACACCAUAGGAAUGAUGUU